GGCCGUACAAGUUGUGUGAACGGUUGUUUAGCUGGCAGCACGGAAACGCCUCCUACACGAUGCCGGUUAUCCGAGAGGCAUACAAGGCUAAGUGUAAAACGACAUACGGAAUGUCCGAGGAAGCUGCCGUUUGGAUAGAACUGGCUCGGCAGAUUUUCUUGAAGGAUAUUGCUGAGAAGUGCCGCAAAAUGGUCAACAAGGAGCCGAAGAAAAGGACACUGAAAAGAAAAGGUGUUGCGAGAGCUUACAAGAGCAGGUUUAUCGUGGUGUGACAAAGACCAAGACACGAGGGAGACGGUGGUCGCUGACACUACCACAAUCCAGUCUUCGGCUGUAACAACACAUGUAACCUGUACUUGCACUGCAUGGUCAGUGGUGCGUUGACCUGGCUUUCUGUAAAGGUGUCAACUGUUGU
rnacentral:lncRNA from 1 species